rnacentral:tRNA from 1 species
AGCCCCGUGGUGUAGUGGCCAAGCAUAGCUGGCUCUGGACCAGUUGACGGCGGUUCGAAUCCGCCCGGGGCUA